rnacentral:rRNA from 1 species
UACGUAGGGAGCAAGCGUUGUCCGGAAUCAUUGGGCGUAAAGAGCGUGUAGGCGGCCUGAUAAGUCGGCUGUGAAAGUCAAGGGCUCAACCCUUGAAUGCCGGCCGAUACUGUCAGGCUAGAGUCCGGAAGAGGCGAGUGGAAUUCCUGGUGUAGCGGUGAAAUGCGCAGAUAUCAGGAGGAACACCUAUGGCGAAGGCGGCUCUCUGGUACGUGACUGACGCUGAGACGCGAAAGCGUGGGGAGCAAACAGG